CAAUAGCGUAUAUUAAAGUUGUUGCAGUUAAAAAGCUCGUAGUUGAAUUUCUGUCAGGAGUGACCGGGCCUUUGGAUGAACUUCCAUUGUUUUUUGCUCUGUUUGUCAUCUCUAGACAUCCUGGAAUAUUUUUUUUAAAUGUUCCUCUUUUACUGUUAGCAAAAUAGAGUGUUCCAAGCAAAGCGUAGUUUUGAAUACAUUAGAAUGGAAUAAUAAGAUAGGACUUUGGUGCUAUUUUGUUGGUUUGCACACCAAGGUAAUGAUUAAUAGGGACAGUUGGGGGUAUUCGUAUUUAAUUGUCAGAGGUGAAAUUCUUGGAUUUAUGAAAGACGAACUACUGCGAAAGCAUUUACCAAGGAUGUUUUCAUUAA
rnacentral:rRNA from 1 species